UCAAUAGCAACAAAAAGUACCAUUAAAUCUCCUUUCUUGUGAUAGUUUUUCUGUAAUUUACUCGUGCAAUGCGCUGAUUUCUUCCAUUGCUUAUUUGACAUAUGAAGCAUAUGCCCAGUUAAGACAAAUAUUAACUGUUUUAAAUCUUUUACCUUGUUUAUGUUAUGAAGUGAAACCAGUUAUUAUGUAUUAUGUGUUUUAUGUUCUGCUUUCAAAAGAAAAUUGUACCAGUGAUUAUUUAACCUGAUGUCAGCGGAAAGAGAACAGUUACAGGGUGUUUUAACCCGGGCCAUGUCGUGUGUUCGAGAAGCUGAAGAAGCAGCAGAAGCAGAUGACUUUGCAGCUUCUUGUGUGAGACAAACUAGAGCUUUAUUUAGAAGAAGUGCACGGAGACCACCUUUAUCAGGGGAUACUACAACAAGAAAAAAAGGAAGAUCAAAAUGCGAUAUAUGGAAACUUAAUUUUUUCCUUCUCCAGAAACACAAUGAAGAGUAUGUUCCACCUCCCUCAGAACUUUCACGUCUUACAAGAAAUGGCUUAGGUCCUCCAAAACAUGAGCAGCCUGGGACUCAAGACAGAUAUGGAAGCAAAUCAUCCAUUAAUAG